GAUGAACGCUGGCGGCAGGCCUAACACAUGCAAGUCGCGGGGCAUCGGGGGUAGCAAUACCUGCCGGCGACCGGCAGACGGGUGAGUAACGCGUAUGCAAUCUGGCUCAUACAGGGGGAUAACCCGGAGAAAUUCGGGCUAAUACCGCAUAAAUCGACAGAUCGGCAUCGAUUAAUCGAUAAAGGAGCAAUUCGGUAUGAGAUGAGCAUGCGUAUCAUUAGAUAGUUGGUGAGGUAACGGCUCACCAAGUCGACGAUGAUUAGGGGUUCUGAGAGGAUAAUCCCCCACACCGGGACUGAGACACGGCCCGGACUCCUACGGGAGGCAGCAGUGAGGAAUAUUGGUCAAUGGACGCAAGUCUGAACCAGCCAUGCCGCGUGAAGGACACGGCCCUACGGGUCUUCAACUUCUUUUUCGAGGGAACAAUAAGCGCUACGUGUAGCGUGAUGAGUGUACCUCGUGAAUAAGCACCGGCUAACUCCGUGCCAGCAGCCGCCGUAAUAC
rnacentral:rRNA from 1 species